AUUGAACGCUGGCGGCAGGCCUAACACAUGCAAGUCGAGCGGAGCGGCGGACGGGUGAGUAAUGCAUAGGAAUCUGCCUGGUCGCGGGGGAGAAUGUAAGGAAACGGGAGCGAAUACCGUAAACGAUUAGCUGAGCCUAGGUCGGAUUAGCUAGUUGGUGGGGUAAAGGCCUACCAAGGCGACGAUCCGUAACUGGUCUGAGAGGAUGAUCAGUCACACUGGAACUGAGACACGGUCCAGACUCCUACGUGAGGCAGCAGUGGGGAAUAUUGGCCAAUGGGCGAAAGCCUGAUCCAGCCAUGCCGCGUGUGGGAAGAGGGUCUUCGGAUUGUAAAGCACGUUAAGUUGGGAGGCGUUACCAACAGAAUAAGCACCGGCUAACUUCGUGCCAGCAGCCGCGGUAAUUC
rnacentral:rRNA from 1 species